AUUGAACGCUGGCGGCAUGCCUUACACAUGCAAGUCGAACGGUAACAGGUCUUCGGAUGCUGACGAGUGGCGAACGGGUGAGUAAUACAUCGGAACGUGCCUAGUAGUGGGGGAUAACUACUCGAAAGAGUGGCUAAUACCGCAUGAGAUCUACGGAUGAAAGCAGGGGAUCGCAAGACCUUGUGCUACUAGAGCGGCCGAUGGCAGAUUAGGUAGUUGGUGGGAUAAAAGCUUACCAAGCCGACGAUCUGUAGCUGGUCUGAGAGGACGAUCGGCCACACUGGGACUGAGAAACGGCCCAGACUCCUACGGGAGGCAGCAGUGGGGAAUUUUGGACAAUGGGCGCAAGCCUGAUCCAGCAAGGCCGCGUGCAUGAUGAAGGCCUUCGGGUUGUAAACUGCUUUUGUACGGAACGAAAAGCCCCGGGUUAAUACCCUGGGGUCAUGACGGUACCGUAAGAAUAAGCACCGGCUAACUACGUGCCAGCCGCCGCCGUAA
rnacentral:rRNA from 1 species